AUCUCACCUUUGAACUCACCUGCAACCUGCAGGAGGCAGACUCAGAAAGGGUGGAGCACGCCUGAGGGCCAGCCGCAGUGUUUAUUAAUUAGGCAGAGUGCUUCUAAGCACUUUUGAUUAAACGCCAGUUUGUGUCAGGACGGUGGGGACAGCAAAAGGGGCUGGGACAUGCAUGCAGGGGGUUUAGAAUCCAGGAAAGAAAUAAGACUGUCAUCUGAGGAUUCUGGCACCAGACGGCUCAAAGCUCUGGAUGAGCAGCUGUGAGCUGAGGCCCGGUGUGGGCCUUGUAGCUGGGACAGGCACUGCAUCCUGGUGGUGGGAGCCCGAGUGGCCGCUCUGUGGGACCUGAGGGACAGAGGGUCCUUAGGGGCUGCUCCAGCAGUGGGUGAGGCCUGUUUCUACAAGUGGGCGUGGCCUGCUCUCGGCAGCAUUUGCAGGCUAAAAUCUCCAGUACAAUGUUGAAGAGGAGAAGGGGCAGCAGCAACUCCACUGGAUCCAUCUUUCUAAUGUUUGGCUACAAUGACGCUCUUGACUCAAGGUCUUCAGUUAAUGCUUCGAGGAAAUCUGUCUAGGGAUUGAAUGUGCUCCUUGUGACAGCUGGCCACAGAGGCAGAAGAUUGGAAAGGAAAAGCCUAGAACAAACUGAGAGGCCUCAUGGAUGGGGGUGAAGCCCAGCGAGCAUGGUCCUGGGCGGGCUGGGCCCGUCGACCCGCCGUAACUGGGAAGGGCUGGGCCCCCGGGAGGCUGGUCUUGGAAGACUAGUGUCACCUGCUCCAGUUGGGGUUCCUGACUCGGUGACAUGGGCUCUGCUCUCCCCUUCUGCUUCUGAGGAACUGGGAGUGGAUGGAACGCUUUUCCAGUCAGUUCUCUCUGGAGAAGCAUCAUGCACGCCCUACACCAGCUCUCACGGGCUCCUUUUCCACAGAUACAGAUUCAACCCAGUGCUGGUUAUGUGAGGACUGUGAAAAUCAGGCUCCACACCCUCCUAGUAACAACUGCCUACCUCUAUGUUGUGAAAAUGCAUGAUUGCAGACAUUUGACUUGAUUUUGAGCAGAUUUCUUAAACUAAUGCAAAUAAAAUAUGUUUUUAGAAGAGAAAUAAUAAAUAGCACUUUCUUCUUUUGUUUGUAGUAAGGGCCUGCCCUGAAGGACAGCCGUAGCUGACCUUGGAAUGCAUUAGUCCUAAGGGGUAGGGACGUGUCUCUUUCCUUGCUGUUUUUGCCAGGGGGAAAGAGACACUUCAGGUGACGCUCUUCUCUGUUAUAACUUAGCUGAAGAUAAAGCCUUAAGUCUUUUCUC
rnacentral:lncRNA from 1 species